CCUACGGGUGAUAGCAGUGAGGAAUAUUGGUCAAUGGCCGGAAGGCUGAACCAGCCAUGCCGCGUGAAGGUCAGUGCCCUAUGGGCGUUAAACUUCUUUUGUGCGGGAGCAAUAAUGGUCACGUGUGGCCAGACGAGAGUACCGUACGAAUAAGCAUCGGCUAACUCCGUGCCAGCAGCCGCGGUAAUACGGGGGAUGCAAGCGUUAUCCGGAUUUAUUGGGUUUAAAGGGUGCGUAGGCUGUGAGGUAAGUCAGCGGUGAAAUGCCCCCGAUCAACGGGGUGAAGUGCCAUUGAUACUGCCUGGCUGGAAUGCGGAUGCAGUGGGAGGAAUGUGUGGUGUAGCGGUGAAAUGCAUAGAUAUCACACAGAACACCGAUUGCGAAGGCAUCUCACGAAUCCGCGAUUGACGCUGAUGCACGAAAGCGUGGGUAUCAAACAGGAUUAGAUACCCCUGUAGUC
rnacentral:rRNA from 1 species